AUAUCAAUAAGCGGAGGAAAAGAAACUAACAAGGAUUCCCCUAGUAACUGCGAGUGAAGCGGGAAGAGCUCAAAUUUGUAAUCUGGCGGUCUCAGGCCGUCCGAGUUGUAGUCUGGAGAAGCGUUUUCCGCGUCGGACCGUGUACAAGUCCCUUGGAACAGGGCGUCAUAGAGGGUGAGAAUCCCGUCUUCGACACGGACUACCGAUGCUUUGUGAUGCGCUCUCGAAGAGUCGAGUUGUUUGGGAAUGCAGCUCAAAACGGGUGGUAAAUUCCAUCUAAAGCUAAAUAUUGGCGAAAGACCGAUAGCGAACAAGUACCGUGAGGGAAAGAUGAAAAGCACUUUGGAAAGAGAGUUAAACAGUACGUGAAAUUGUUGAAAGGGAAACGAUUGAAGUCAGUCGCGUCUUCCGGGACUCAGCUUGGCUUUGCCUGGCGCAUUUCCCGGGGUGACGGGCCAGCAUCAAUUUCGACCGGCGGAGAAAGGUGGGGGGAACGUGGCACCUUCGGGUGUGUUAUAGCCCUCUGUCGUAUGCGUCGGUUGGGAUUGAGGAUCGCAGCACGCCUUUUUGGCCGGGGUUCGCCCACGUAACGUGCUUAGGAUGCUGGCGUAAUGGCUUUAAACGA
rnacentral:rRNA from 1 species